rnacentral:rRNA from 1 species
UAUUGCACAAUGGGGGAAACCCUGAUGCAGCGACGCCGCGUGAAGGAAGAAGUAUUUCGGUAUGUAAACUUCUAUCAGCAGGGAAGAAAAAAGACGGUACCUGACUAAGAAGUCCCGGCUAACUACGUGCCAGCAGCCGCGGUAAUACGUAGGGGGCAAGCGUUGUCCGGAAUUACUGGGUGUAAAGGGAGCGUAGACGGUGAUGCAAGUCAGAAGUGAAAGCCCGGGGCUCAACUCCGGGACUGCUUUUGAAACUGUGUGACUGGAGUGCAGGAGAGGUAAGCGGAAUUCCUGGUGUAGCGGUGAAAUGCGUAGAUAUCAGGAGGAACACCAGUGGCGAAGGCGGCUUGCUGGACUGUAACUGACGUUGAGGCUCGAAAGCGUGGGGAGCAAACAGG